rnacentral:rRNA from 1 species
AUUGAACGCUGGCGGCAGGCCUAACACAUGCAAGUCGAGCGGAUGAAGGGAGCUUGCUCCUGGAUUCAGCGGCGGACGGGUGAGUAAUGCCUAGGAAUCUGCCUGGUAGUGGGGGAUAACGUCCGGAAACGGGCGCUAAUACCGCAUACGUCCUGAGGGAGAAAGUGGGGGAUCUUCGGACCUCACGCUAUCAGAUGAGCCUAGGUCGGAUUAGCUAGUUGGUGGGGUAAAGGCCUACCAAGGCGACAAUCCGUAACUGGUCUGAGAGGAUGAUCAGUCACACUGGAACUGAGACACGGUCCAGACUCCUACGGGAGGCAGCAGUGGGGAAUAUUGGACAAUGGGCGAAAGCCUGAUCCAGCCAUGCCGCGUGGGUGAAGAAGGUCUUCGGAUUGUAAAGCACUUUAAGUUGGGAGGAAGGGCAGUAAGUUAAUACCUUGCUGUUUUGACGUUACCAACAGAAUAAGCACCGGCUAACUUCGU